GGAGAUUCUCACUGUCCCUACUUACACCCCGGCGAAACCACAGCCAAGGGAACGGGGCUUGGCGGAAUCGGCGGGGAAAGAAGACCCUGUUGAGCUUGACUCUAGUCGAACGUCGAGGAACAGCACGGACGAACGUAGCAUAGGUGGGAGGCUCCGGCCGAACCUGAAAUACCACCGUCUCCGUCGUUGUUCUUCUCAUUUGGUGGUGUAGGGAUGGGGCGAAGCCCCUUUUUCUGGAGACGGCCGCGACGCGCGCCCGUCCGGGCUCCGUCGCUCGCGCGAGCGAGCGGCGGGGUCCGGCAGGCCUCCGCCCGCGGCGCCUAAUCCGAAGACGUCGUUCGGUGGGGAGUUUUGGCUGGGGCGGCACAUCCGUUAAAAGGCAACGCGGGUGUCCAAAGGGGAGCUCGGCGAGAAGGGAAAUCUCGCGUCGAACGAAAGGGUAAAAGCUCCCUUGAUUCCGAUCUUCAGUACUGAUACGAACCUCGAAAGAGUGGCCUAGCGAUCCUUUGGUCGUUCGCGACCUGAAGCCAGAGGUGUCAGAAAAGUUACCAAAGGGAUAACUGGCUUGUGGCGGCCAAG
rnacentral:rRNA from 1 species